UUAAAAAAAAAAAUGAAAUAUCUCCUAAUGAUUGUUUUGAUUCUAAGUCUCGCAGUUUUUGGUAAGGCUGCUGUCAUAGACACGUCAACUACCACACAGAGCAGUACGACACAGAUCACUUGCCCACGUCUGCCUUGCCCCUGGACAGGAUUCUGUACUCAGACUGAGCCCACCUACUACUACUACCAUGGCAUCAAGUGCCGAGGCUGUGACAAGUGCAUUGAUUGAUGACAUUAUUUGCAGCCAAUCGAACGUUGUAUGAGGUGCUCGCCAAGUCUUUACAGUACAUAUAUUCUAUACCAUGUUCAGCUAGUUUCGUUUCCAUUCAAUUCUUUAGUAAUAUGCUGUUAGCAAACUCGAGGGCGAGUUGAUAUUGUGAGAAAUAUAUACUUCAGAUUCUAAUGAA